AUGCUCACUUCAGCAGCACAUAUACUAAAAAUUGGAAUGAAACCAAGAUUAGCAUAGGCCUUGAGUGAGGAUGAAGCGCAAAUCCAUAAGGCAUUCCAUAUUUUU